rnacentral:misc_RNA from 1 species
UUUUAUUUAAUAUUUCUUUCCACGUACUUUCUUCUUGUCUACAUAUUUGUACGACGCGUAAUUAGAUCGGUCGUAAGUUUCUACGCCGCUAUAAAUAUCAAGAUUAUUAGUAGACAGGAUAGUAAUAAAACGACGCAAUCAUCGAACGUAAUCACUGGUAGGCAAGAAACACGAAUUUCUUGGAAUCACGAGUCGGAAAAGAUUUAGAAACGGUGGUGAUUAACCGUACCGAAUACCAGUCGUCGAGUUUUGCUACAUUUUGUUUUGGGAAUGGCAUCGAUUCACCUAACUCGUUCGUUCCAAGUUUUAUUCGAAACGUUUUACCGAAUAACGCAUAGUUUAGCGGAUAUCCGCGUGAAUCGAUUAAGACGGGACACCCUGUAUAUUGCUGGCAUUAUAUACGCGAACCGACAGAUAAGAAAAAUGGCGACAAAGGUGUUUCAUGCAUAUAAGGCAGCUCGACGAUGGAAAAUAGUAUACACACGUGCGCGAUUAUGCAUGUAACGAUGGCGGUAAAGCAACUGCUCAGCCCGAUUCCGCAUAAUCGAAGGGUUGGAAAAUUACAAUGCAGCCGGCUGGCGCAACAUUUUCGAGCUUGGCUCGUAAAAGAACGCGAAU